rnacentral:lncRNA from 1 species
UGCCCCCGCUUUCACGAUAGUGCAUUCCCCUUCUUUAAAAGGAUUCAAACUCCUGUUCAUUUCAGCCGUGCAUUCCACUCUGAUGCCAGCCGCAUGAAGAAAAUUCAUAGAAUGCUCCUCUGUUACGAGUCACUUCACUUAUUUGAAUUAUCCCAAUUAAAGCCCCUGGACCCCACUUACAUUUAAUUCACCGUGUGAACAUGUUCUCUUUGGGCCACUUUAAAUUUCCUUGUGCAGAAAUGGAUUGCUUUCUAUGCCUCCGUGGACCCAUCAUUUUAAAUACCAUCUCCUCCCUUAUGGAUCAAGUGGUCCAUAAUGGACCACUAGCUUACAGAUUGAAUUUGGUAAAUUUUCAGUCUUGAUUUUAAAUUUAUUUUUUAUCUAAUUUGAUUUUUUUAAAUCUAC